rnacentral:rRNA from 2 species
AUAUCAAUAAGCGGAGGAAAAGAAACCAACAGGGAUUGUCUUAGUAACGGCGAGUGAAGCGACAAAAGCUCAAAUUUGAAAUCUGGCAACUUCGGUGUCCGAGUUGUAAUUUGAAGAAGGUAACUUUGGAGUUGGCUCUUGUCUAUGUUCCUUGGAACAGGACGUCACAGAGGGUGAGAAUCCCGUGCGAUGAGAUGUCCAACUCUAUGUAAAGUGCUUUCGAAGAGUCGAGUUGUUUGGGAAUGCAGCUCUAAGUGGGUGGUAAAUUCCAUCUAAAGCUAAAUAUUGGCGAGAGACCGAUAGCGAACAAGUACAGUGAUGGAAAGAUGAAAAGAACUUUGAAAAGAGAGUGAAAAAGUACGUGAAAUUGUUGAAAGGGAAGGGUUUGAGAUCAGACUUGGUAUUUUGUAUGUCUUGCUUUCGGGUGGGGCCUCUGCAGUUUACUGGGCCAGCAUCGGUUUGGACGGUAGGAUAAUGACAUUGGAAUGUGGCACUACUUCGGUGGUGUGUUAUAGACUUUGUUGAUACUGCCUGUCUAGACCGAGGACUGCGU